UCCUUUCUUCAGAGAAAGCGCAAGAAUCUUCAUGGAGAGACGCGCGUGGGGUCGGCCGGUUCCCCGCCCACCUCGGCUACUCCUGCGACCGGGCGGUGGCCUGCGCGGGGCGCCGGGGUCCCGAGCCCAUGGAUUCAGCUGGGACCUGUGCUAAUCCCCAAGUGGCUUCAGUCCCUCUUCUAUCUUGCGACAGAUCCUCAACCCUUUCUUGUCUUUCAAAAUUUUGACAUUCCAUAAACAUUGGUCAACUACAUUUCGAAACACCUUGACAGUUUCUGAUCAUUAGUUAGUCUACAGUUACUCAGUCUGGAAAGACAGCCACAGAUUGACAGUGUUACUAUGACUACAACAAUAAGUCACUAUCAAGGGAAUUCCUGCUGUCUAUCAGUGAUAUUAACCUCGCCAAAGUAAAUAAUGCAGUGUCUGUUAGGUUUUUACAUUAUAAAGGUCUAUUUUGAAAUUUAUCUUGAGGAAUUCUGCUAUACCAAUGUCCUGUUAUUUCAAGUCUCACCUGCCACUUUCAACAUUUGAGGGCAGUUCCUGUUUGUGACUGUUGUUACUGCACUGUGUACCUAACGGAGAGUUCAAAUACCCUUGAUUUCUUCUAUAAAUUGGCAAUUAUGUUGAAAGAUUAUGCCUUCUCCCAACUUACUGUUUUAUUCAGUUAUUCAAGAAGGGUUUUCUUAUGGGUGGUAUUUCCCUGUCUUUGUCCUGUGGCUGAGGUAGUUUAGCAUCAGGGGUGCUUUGAUUGGAUCAUGUGGCCUUUGGGCAGUUUCUGCUUUUAAAUCAAUCACUUCCUUAAUUUUCUGCCACCAUAGGUUGCACUGAUUUAUUUCUUGUUUUUUAACUUCUGUUUAUCUUGCCCUGGCCCUAGAAUCAGCUAAUUUCCCAGUGAAUUCUCGUUCUUUAUAUCAGUGUAUCUAAGAGGCUAAAUCUGGAUGCUGGAGGCAGAGUGGUUUUUUGUUUUGUUUUUGUUUUUUGUUUUGUUUUGUUUUUGGCUGGGGCAUUAACUGCUACUAGACUUGCUAGAGAGUUAGAAAUCAAUACUUAUGUGAAAACUGUAUAACACAUACAUCAUUUAUUUCUGUUUUCUUUAUCAAAGAGAGACAUGGGCAGAUCUACCCAAGGUAUGUUACACACAAAGAUUGAAAUGAAGAUGGCCAACACCGGGAUCCCUGUAUUUUGGGGCCCAUAAAGAUGGGCCCCCUUCAUCCUGCCUCAAGGUCAUAGAGUUCAAAACUGUCCUAACUAAGUCAAAAGUCCUAAAGGUCUAAGGCUUGACUACUGCAACAUGUUCUGGGCUCAGGUGUGUUUACUCAUGACCUUGAAAGCCAGAUCAUAGGUGUGGCUACCAAAUGCCUGGAGGAUUAAGGGAAGUAAGUCUGUUUGCUUCUUAUACAUGAUAAUAGUGCCCCCCCUUUUGGUUGGGUACUUAAGAAUUUGAAGAAUAAACUAGUUGUCCUCCUUGCCUUUCAUUAUUUAUAUUCUAUUUAUCCAGUCUUAGUACACACCUGAAGUAGCUCCAGAAUCCCUAACCAGUACUCUGAUGAGAAGCAAACUUGCUAUUGUGGUCCCAUUUUGUGCAGUUUUGUCACUGGCUUUGCAGAACUCUACCGAAACAUUACUUUCCUAAGUUUUGAAACAAAAACUCUCUGUGUUUUUUCCUCCUCUUCAGUGAUGGUGUUAUUCACUUGUAACUUAGGUUUAUUUAUGAUUUACAUUCCAUACUUGGUGGUUUUAAUUAUUUUAUUAAAAUUAAUGAGCUUCAUUUAUUUAACACUCAAAACAUUAUUUGGGUGCAAAGUUUAAGUUUUAUAAAAAUAUAUGCCUCUCCCCUUUUGUUUUUUCUGACUAGUUUCCCACCACUGCUUUCCAUUCCUCUCCUGAAAACACGCUAAACACGCUUUCCAUGCAACACUGCUAUCAAGCCCCCUUUGCCUUCCCAUAAGGAUACAAGACUUUUGUGGUAGCAGACAUUGAUAUGAGUCAGGCUGAAGAUUUGUUGAAAAUGUCGUAAUCUGGUGAAUGAAUAGACUAUCCCCCUUUUUUAAAGUGUUGCUUUAUAUGCCAGAAUGUGCACAAAUGCACACAUACAUGCAUCUUGGGCAAAACACAAGUUAAAAUCAGGAGAUCACUCUGAGCUAGCAGGAAAGAGCUUUGUGUGGGGGAAAUCUCAAGGCCAUUUCUCCAGUGUGUGUCCCUCUCUCUUCUUUCUUUCCUCCCACAAGCAUGCAAACAGCUUAGUGAGGGAUCUGCAUGUACUGUCUCUAUAUUAGCAAUUUCUGUUCUUUCCUUAACUUGUUGAAUGAUGCCUUUUGCCCACACAAUCCCGCCUAAGUUCUUUUAUGUAAAGUCACCAUAAACUAAGCUAUUCCAGAUUCUAGUGACACAUAUUUAUCUUAAAGAUACUGAAAGUUACCAGUCCCAACCAUUUUCAUUAAACUCUUCCUCUUUCCUUUCAGAAACUAUUUUCAUCUUGGUUUACUUUUUGUCUCUCUAUUAAUAAUGGUGUUCUCUCCAACCAUCCUGCAUCCAUCACUAUUUUCCAAGGUUGCCUCCUGGAAUCCUUUUAUUCUCAUUACAAUUUCUUUGACCUCUGAUUAUUUUGCUUUAUUUUCUUUUAUCAAUACAGAAAUUUAACUCCCCUGAUACUCUAGUUUAUUAUUUAGUUUCAUGAUCAUGUUGAUAUAUGAUUUCAUAAGUUAUUCUGCUUGCCUAACAUAUUGCCUUAGUUCUUAGAGUGAAUGCAUAUGCAACCUUGAAAAGGAGCCCAACAUCGACUCCCUGUUCCAGAAACCUCCCCUGCCUAGGUUGCAUGCUUCUUUGUGAGGAAUCAGCUCUACAUAUUUCUCAGUACACAACUGUCACUCGAUAACCCCAAUAUGUAUUUUUUUCCUUUAGGGCUAUCUCACAAUUAAGGAGCCAAAGUACCAAUUAGAUGUCAACCUAAAUAAUUCUUCAAACUAAUGUGCUGUUGCAACUAUGAAAGAUAAAUAAAAAGAGAAAUGCUUGGUUCUAAAGUUCCUAAAGAGGGGUGAAAGUGAACCUGGGAAAAUCUUAGACUCAUUUCAGUUAACAUCACUUGUAUCAUUGGGUAUAUAGUUUUAGGUACAUUUCCUUACCUCAAAUGAACAAAGGUACAUGCAUCAACAAGGUUGAGUUAAGUACAUACUCCAUAUGAAGAUAAGGCCUUAAUCAAAUUGAUCCAAAUUUCACAUUUCAAUUAGAUACAAAAGCAAUCAGAAUGGCUUAUCUUUAAUGAGAAGCUAAGGAGACGUGGCUCAGUAGAUAAGGUGUUUGUCUUUCGAGUAUGAGGACUUGAUCUCAUAUCUCCAUCAUCCAUAUAAAAAGACAGGUUUGACAGCACAUGUCAAUCCCAAAAGUAGAGAAGCAGAGAUAGGAUCUCAGAGCUCACUGUCCAGCCAGUCUAAAUAAAACAUAAGAGAAAGCCCUGGAUUCAAUGACAGCUCACGAAUCAAAAAAAAAAGUAGAGUUAUUAAGGAAGAUAAUCAAAGACGACCUCUGACCUCUAUAAGCACACAAACACAUGAUCCCAUAUAGAGGUACACUCACACAAGUCCACAAACAAACAUGAAAAUACAUCCUUAACCAUAUUUAUGACAAGCUAGCAUUUCUGUUAUGAACAAAAACAACAUGUGUUCUUUCCCGAAAAUCAGUGGCAUGGCACACCUACCAGAUGGCUCUGAGUGUAGUGAUUACAAUAAAGGGAGUUUUCAAAGGAGCAAAGAGAAGCUCACACUUCGAGAAGAGCAGCCCUCUCAGCCCUUAAAUUGACUCAUCCAGCACAGAGGUCGUGAAGACCAACAGUUGGAAACAAUGGAGAGGUGUCUGCAGCACGAGUCUGAAAGGUCUAAUGCUCCCAGACAGGCAGCGGCUCAUUUCUGACUUGAUAGGUUAAUUAUCGUAGAAUGAAAACGGAAGGCGGGAAAGAUUGGGUUUCUCUAGUCUCAUGCAGGUGCACACUUGUUACCACAAAAUGAGGUGACACAAAGGUCAAUAGGCUAACGCUUCCAGUAUGUAGCAUUAUGAAGCUAUCUUCAGCAUCUUUGGUUUGCACAAAUAAGCAGUUUGGAUGUAAAUGCUAUUUUCACUUGGGUAUCUGUGCUCCCUUUGAACCACAUCUGCUUUCUUGCUGGAGCUUUGGAUAAAGCUGGACCUAGGCUUGCUCCUCAGCUCUGACACUUAGAAAUCAGGCUUCAGUGUGUGACACUGUGGAAUGCUGUGGGUUUUAAUGACACAACUGCUAGCAGAGUCAGACAAAAUAGAAUCCCACAGCAUAAUGCCUGCCAGAUAGUAGAUGCUCAGGAAACAUCAGUGGGGUUUCGGGGCUUGUGACAAAGUUUCCUAACUUCUUUGAGCAUUAUUACACUCUUUCACAGAAUGAAGGGAAGACCUUGGUAUGCAGGUUGAUACAGGUGAAAAACAAUAUAACUUAUGCCUACUCGCUCACUAGUGUAAUCCCAAGAGGCUGACACAGAAGAUCACCAUAAGUUUCAGCCCAGGGUGAUCAAUAAAUAUCACAAGUCCUCAGCAAGCCUAGGUGACAGAGUGACACCCCUCCUCAAACACAAAAGGGGAGGCAGAGUUCAGUUUCUUCUUUUUCAUCUCCAAAGAUUUGCUUAACAGUGACUAGUCUAUUUUUAAGAGAGAUUUUUUAGGUCAGAAUUUUAUAUGACCUAGGAAUUCUACUGUUGUAAAUUUUUGCUCUUUUAGUGUAUUUCCCCAUUUUUCUACAGCAGACCUCACUCGAUCACUCACACCUAGGGGAGAUGGAAGCCCUUUCUGCCUCAGAGGUAGCCUGAGCCAUCGGGCCUGGUUUGAAGAAUGUGCUUUUGUUUCUUAGUUUUCAACUUCAGUUUUUACCUAGACAUUCAACAGUAGCCUCUUCCUGGUUUAGCAUGUACCAAGAUGACAUGACUCUGUUACCUUUUUAUUAAUCUUAAUAGAUUCCAUCGUCAAAACACCAGUGUAGAAGAUAAGCAAACAGUGUGAACCAAGAUUUAAAGUGUGUGCUGAGUAUACACACACCUGGAGAAAUACUGAGAUUGAAUAUGUGAAAGUCUCCCAGUGGGUAUUUCUCUAUUUGGUGCUUCUUGUUGACUGGUGGGAAGCUUGCAAGUAUCCCUGUUCAGAACAUGUGCUCUGGACUUGGAUGUCAAAGCUUGGUGGUAUGAGUCUGUGCCAUGCAAGUCACCAUCAUGUCUAGCCCUCAGUGGUUCAGUAUAUGCUCAACAGAAGUACAUGAAGUACAAUACCUAUAGAAUGCUUAAGAACCUCGGGGGGUUUUUUAUCACUAAUCCUUUACUAGCACUUCCCUAACAUCAAAUUAACAGGAAAGAAAUAUUUCAUUAAGGAACAGCACCAUCAUGUUUGCACUCGAAUAAUUCAAAAUUGUCAGACUAGAGUGUAGGUCUUUGGCAGAGUACUUGCCUAGCUUGUAAGGUUCUGGGUUUAAUCCCCAAGUGCUAAAAAGAAAGACAAACAGCAUUCAGAAGUUAAGUCUUGGAGUAAUACUAUCUAGCCCAUCCAAAACCACUUCCUCCAUGGCCCAAGCUGAGUGCUUCAUCCUUGGUCUCUUGUGAGAGCCAGGAAAUGUUUGUAAACAUGUAAUUACUAUUUGAUAAUUCUGAAGUCAAAUGGAGAAGUUUUCAAAAAGUCAGAAACUAUGAAUUAGGUGAACUUUCUCGAUCCCCGAAGAGACGUUGAAGGAUUGAAAUCUUCUUGGAAUCAAAUAUAAGAAUAUCACUAGGUGGCUACAAAAUGUAAGAAAACUGUACCUAAGAAUGUCACUAAGGUGGCUAUGAAAUGUAUGAAAAAUAUCCCAACAUAUGGCUUAAUUAUAUGUGCCUGCCUCUGCUACCAACGUCCCAAGUGCUAUUUUUAAGAUUUAAAAUGAGAUGUACUUUUAUUUCUGAGAACCAAUACUAAUUCUUACACACAUGGGGAAAAUGGAAACUCCAUACACUCUGCAGACAAUCUAACAGAGGAACACUGACGUAGGUCCAGCAGGCUGUCUAUUUCUAAAACCAGUGCUCACAGACUUAGAGCGAACAGCCACCACACAUAAAAUCAACACCAUCACUGCUCAACUAACAGUCUCCACUUCUUCUGAAUGAAACUGUCUUGAUCUUGUCUUCGGCUGUCGUCAGUAAAAGAAUGUGAACAAAAAAAA